rnacentral:tRNA from 1 species
GCCCGGGUGGUGAAAUUGGUAGACACAGCGGACUUAAAAUCCGCCGGGACUUUAAAAUCCCUUGCCGGUUCAAGUCCGGCCCUGGGCA